rnacentral:rRNA from 1 species
CCUACGGGAGGCAGCAGUGGGGAAUUUUGGACAAUGGGGGAAACCCUGAUCCAGCAAUGCCGCGUGUGUGAAGAAGGCCUUCGGGUUGUAAAGCACUUUUGUCCGGAAAGAAAUCCUUUGGGCUAAUACCCCGGGGGGAUGACGGUACCGGAAGAAUAAGCACCGGCUAACUACGUGCCAGCAGCCGCGGUAAUACGUAGGGUGCAAGCGUUAAUCGGAAUUACUGGGCGUAAAGCGUGCGCAGGCGGUUCGCUAAGACCGAUGUGAAAUCCCCGGGCUUAACCUGGGAACUGCAUUGGUGACUGGCGGGCUAGAGUAUGGCAGAGGGGGGUAGAAUUCCACGUGUAGCAGUGAAAUGCGUAGAGAUGUGGAGGAAUACCGAUGGCGAAGGCAGCCCCCUGGGCCAAUACUGACGCUCAUGCACGAAAGCGUGGGGAGCAAACAGGAUUAGAUACCCUGGUAGUCCACGCCCUAAACGAUGUCAACUAGUUGUUGGGGAUUCAUUUCCUUAGUAACGUAGCUAACGCGUGAAGUUGACCGCCUGGGGAGUACGGUCGCAAGAUUAAAACUCAAAGGAAUUGACGG